UGGGAAUUGAUAUCAUGCGUUAAUUGCUUUUCAUAUCAGACAUCACCCAUGAAAUUAUGUGCAUUUCUACUACAUUCUCUGUCCCGUGUCGAAUAAAUUGGAAUGGUUGCUGGUGAGUAACUUUUGAGGAGUAAUUAGGAAUGGCUUAACAGAGUUAAUAUGUUAGUUGGGGGUGGCAUUUGUGAUUCUGAAUCAACCCUUUGAAUGGUAGAUGAAAGUGUGACUUGUGGAAUAUGUAUGGUUUGGAUUAGUACAUAAGAAACUUAUGUGACUUUCUUUUUCACUAGAACCAUAGAGGUAACCCUUUUGUAUAUUGUAUAAUAGUAGGUGAUGGAUCCACCUUCUCCUCCAAGCACACCGUUGCUAAGUCCAGCUCCCCCUAGCCCUAGGGGAGGAUUCAUGGAUACAUGCUUAUGGUUUGUGUGCUGCUGCGGUCUAUUUAGUUGCUGCUCUCCUCCCCUCUUCGAAUCAGGACCUCCUCCACUCUAGACUCUACUGUUUUUGCUGCUUUGUUCUUUCAAACCAUUUCUAAUUUACCUCAAAAAAAUUGUGGCUUUUGUUUCCUUAUGGUUGUAUUUUGAGAUCAAGUUAUCAAAUCAAUAUUCAAAUUAUGAAUUCUCCGGCUAA